rnacentral:rRNA from 1 species
UCAANCAAUGUAUGCUUUGGAAACUGUUAGACUUGAGUGCAGAAGGGGAGAGUGGAAUUCCAUGUGUAGCGGUGAAAUGCGUAGAUAUAUGGAGGAACACCGGUGGCGAAAGCGGCUCUCUGGUCUGUCACUGACGCUGAGGCUCGAAAGCGUGGGUAGCGAACAGGAUUAGAUACCCUGGUAGUCCACGCCGUAAACGCUGAGUGCUAGGUGUUAGGUCCUUUCCGGGACAUAGUGCCGACGCUAACGCAUUAAGCACUCCGCCUGGGGAGUACGACCGCAAGGUUGAAACUCAAAGGAAUUGACGGGGGCCCGCACAAGCGGUGGAGCAUGUGGUUUAAUUCGAAGCAACGCGAAGAACCUUACCAGGUCUUGACAUCCCGAUGCCCGCUCUAGAGAUAGAGUUUUUCUUCGGAACAUCGGAGACAGGUGGUGCAUGGUUGUCGUCAGCUCGUGUCGUGAGAUGUUGGGUUAAGUCCCGCAACGAGCGCAACCCUUAUUGUUAGUUGCCAUCAUUAAGUUGGGCACUCUAGCGAGACUGCCGGUAAUAAACCGGAGGAAGGUGGGGAUGACGUCAAAUCAUCAUGCCCCUUAUGACCUGGGCUACACACGUGCUACAAUGGUUGGUACAACGAGUCGCAAGCCGGUGACGGCAAGCUAAUCUCUGAAAGCCAAUCUCAGUUCGGAUUGUAGGCUGCAACUCGCCUACAUGAAGUCGGAAUCGCUAGUAAUCGCGGAUCAGCACGCCGCGGUGAAUACGUUCCCGGGCCUUGUACACACCGCCCGUCACACCACGAGAGUUUGUAACACCCAAAG